rnacentral:rRNA from 1 species
UGGGGAAUAUUGGACAAUGGGCGAAAGCCUGAUCCAGCCAUGCCGCGUGUGCGAAGAAGGUCUUCGGAUUGUAAAGCACUUUAAGUUGGGAGGAAGGGCAGUUACCUAAUACGUGAUUGUUUUGACGUUACCGACAGAAUAAGCACCGGCUAACUCUGUGCCAGCAGCCGCGGUAAUACAGAGGGUGCAAGCGUUAAUCGGAAUUACUGGGCGUAAAGCGCGCGUAGGUGGUUUGUUAAGUUGGAUGUGAAAUCCCCGGGCUCAACCUGGGAACUGCAUUCAAAACUGACUGACUAGAGUAUGGUAGAGGGUGGUGGAAUUUCCUGUGUAGCGGUGAAAUGCGUAGAUAUAGGAAGGAACACCAGUGGCGAAGGCGACCACCUGGACUAAUACUGACACUGAGGUGCGAAAGCGUGGGGAGCAAACA